GAAUCAGAAAAUUAAAAACAAAUCGAGAGAAAAAAUGAGAUGAUUAAAACGAUGAGAUAAUUAAGAAAGUUGAAUUUGUUUUCUUUUCUAUUCUCUUUGGAAUAGAAAAUGAAAAAUGAAAUGUCGACAGUAAAAUAGAAAGAGAAAAAGAAAAGAAAAGAAAGACUGAUGACUAAUCACCGGUUCUCUUAUCAUUUCAAUUUCCAUUUUUUAACCGAAUUUUAAUUGUCGCCAUUUAAAUUAUUCUUAACUUUGUUCUUAUUCAUUUUUUAUCUCCUUUAUUUUCGUGAUUCAGGUCACCAUGCGAUUUAUUUCCUUCUAAUCAAUUUACCUUCUCACCUUUAAAUUAUCGUCCAACUGGUUAAUCACAAUUAAGAAACAAAAAUCAACUUUGACAUUUUCUCCUUCUACUGGUCAACCUUUUAGGCCUAAUUUUUGUCUAUAUUGGUUUGGAUUUAUCUUAUUUCUUCGCUAUCUAUUCAUUGAAAUUCUCAUGGAUUCAUUUUUAUGGUUUCAAUUCAUUUCUUUUUGGUUCCCCUGAUAAUCAAUGUGUUCAUUAUUCACUUUAAUCAUGCAAUUCUAAGCUGAACAAACUCAUGGUAUCAUCGUGCUUAAAGCUUAAACAAUCUAAAUAUGAACACCAAGAAGAAGUUAAAAAAAGGAUCAGUCUUGUCUGUCUCUAACUCGAGAAUGUAAAUAUUAUCAUGUAACAAGAUUCUGAUUAUCAGAAUUACUUUAUAACGAGAAUUAACUCAAAUGACCUUGUCAAGGAACCAAAGAUAUUUAAUGGACUAUAAUGAUGAUAAAAAAUGAUGAUGGAAAGUAUAAGAUUUAAUCAACCAACCCACCGAGUAACUUAUAUUUUUUGUUUCAAGAUUCCAAUAAUAUUUUCAAUUGCCAAUGACUGAUAAUUUUAUGGGUAAACUUGGAAAAAUGGAUUAACCUUUGAUUGUUCUUUAAGCCAACACCUUAAACAUGAUCAUCAGAUGUUUCAAUUGGAGUUAAUUGUCGAGUUUAAUAACAUUAUCUGAAAUGGAUCAAUUACCUUUAAAUAAUCAAUUGGGUAUUAAUCAAUUAACAUUUUUUUCUGUCAAUAAAUCGUUGACUGAUUUUGGAAUACAACUUUUUCCUCUCUCACUCAUAGAUUUGAUUAGUGUUUCAUCUGUUAAUUUAAUUAUUCUUUAAAUCUUUGAGCACCACCAAUAGAAAAAUUUUAUUAGAAGUUAUUUUUCUCUUUAGGUUCGAAGAUUUUGUUUCACAAUUCCAUUAAUUGUUGUUGAUUUUGUUACUCCAUUUAUCCUAAACGAUCAUUUCCAAUUCUCUUGCGUAUUCCAAUGUUUUACAGGCUAAUUGUUCACAUGAAAUCUCAUUAUUGAAAG